rnacentral:rRNA from 1 species
UACGGAGGAUCCGAGCGUUAUCCGGAUUUAUUGGGUUUAAAGGGUGCGUAGGCGGCCUGUUAAGUCAGGGGUGAAAGACGGUAGCUUAACUAUCGCAGUGCCCUUGAUACUGAUGGGCUUGAAUGUAGUUGAGGCAGGCGGAAUGUGACAAGUAGCGGUGAAAUGCAUAGAUAUGUCACAGAACACCAAUUGCGAAGGCAGCUUGCUAAAGUAUGAUUGACGCUGAGGCACGAAAAGCGUGGGGGAUCAAAACAGG